rnacentral:ncRNA from 1 species
AGCUGACAAGGGCAAAGCAGGCGAAAGCCUGCGGCGCAAAGCCCAGGGUCUAAGGCGCACAUUUCGCGCUAUGACAGCCUGGCUGCCGGC